UACGUAGGGUGCGAGCGUUAAUCGGAAUUACUGGGCGUAAAGUGUGCGCAGGCGGCCGAGCAAGUCGAGUGUGAAAGCCCCGAGCUUAACUUGGGAACUGCGCUCGAAACUACUUGGCUAGAGUGUGGCAGAGGGAAGUGGAAUUCCACGUGUAGCGGUGAAAUGCGUAGAGAUGUGGAGGAACACCGAUGGCGAAGGCAGCCUCCUGGGCCAACACUGACGCUCAUGCACGAAAGCGUGGGGAGCAAACAGG
rnacentral:rRNA from 1 species